rnacentral:rRNA from 1 species
GUGAACCUUUACUGUAGCUUUGCACUGGACUUUGAGCCUGCUUGUGUAGGAUAGGUGGGAGGCUUUGAAGCGUGGACGCCAGUUCGCGUGGAGCCAUCCUUGAAAUACCACCCUGGCAUGCUUGAGGUUCUAACUCUGGUCCGUGAUCCGGAUCGAGGACAGUGUAUGGUGGGCAGUUUGACUGGGGCGGUCUCCUCCUAAAGAGUAACGGAGGAGUACGAAGGUGCGCUCAGACCGGUCGGAAAUCGGUCGCAGAGUAUAAAGGCAAAAGCGCGCUUGACUGCGAGACAGACACGUCGAGCAGGUACGAAAGUAGGUCUUAGUGAUCCGGUGGUUCUGUAUGGAAGGGCCAUCGCUCAACGGAUAAAAGGUACUCCGGGGAUAACAGGCUGAUACCGCCCAAGAGUUCAUAUCGACGGCGGUGUUUGG